AAACUGCGAUAAGUAGCGUGAAUUGCAGACGCUUUGAACGUUAAACUUUCGAACGCACAUUGCGCCGUAGGAGUCCUACCCUGCGGCACAUCUGGUUGAGGGUCGUGAUCAAAAACAGCAGGACUAUGGCGGUAAUAGAAAUAGCUGGUGAAUCACGAGUUCGGCCUACCGCCUCUGGCCGAACGUGUUUUGCCAUAAUGCUAGAAGAGGACAAUCGCUCGCAAGAGAGAUUGCCUACCACACGGAUGAUCUAUUAGCUGAAGCAAUAGGUCUCGGUCACCGGGUAUCAUGCUUAUAUACUCUGUGGCGUCUGAGAUACAGCUAGUGGGCUUCAUACGUGCCUGGUAUUGAGAGUAUUCGCUCUCCCGACCUCAACUCAGGUGUGAUUACCCGCUGAACUUAAGC
rnacentral:misc_RNA from 1 species